CGGGUGCACUGAUCCGGCCGGGCCUUUCCCUCUGUGGAACCCCAUGGCCUUCACUGGCUGUGCGGGGGAAACAGGACUUUUACUGUGAAAAAAUUAGAGUGCUCCAGGCAGGCCUAUGCUCGAAUACAUUAGCAUGGAAUAAUAGAAUAGGACGCGUGGUUCUAUUUUGUUGGUUUCUAGGACCGCCGUAAUGAUUAAUAGGGACAGUCGGGGGCAUCAGUAUUCAAUUGUCAGAGGUGAAAUUCUUGGAUCUAUUGAAGACUAACUACUGCGAAAGCAUUUGCCAAGGAUGUUUUCAUUGAUAAGGAACGAAAGUUAGGGGAUCGAAGACGAUCAGAUACCGUCGUAGUCUUAACUAUAAACUAUGCCGACUAGGGAUCGGACGAUGUUAUUUCUUGACGCGUUCGGCACCUUUCGAGAAAUCAAAGUGCUUGGGCUCCAGGGGGAGUAUGGUCGCAAGGCUGAAACUUAAAGAAAUUGACGGAAGGGCACCACCAGGGGUGGAACCUGCGGUUUAAUUUGACUCAACACGGGGAAACUCACCAGGUCCAGACACAAUGAGGAUUGACAGAUUGAGAGCUCUUUCUUGAUUUUGUGGGUGGUGGUGCAUGGGCCGUUCUUAGUUGGUGGAGUGAUUUGUCUGCUUAAUUGCGAUAACGAACGAGACCUUAACCUGCUAAAUAGCCCGUACUGCUCUGGCAGUUCGCCGGCUUCUUAGAGGGACUAUCGG
rnacentral:rRNA from 1 species